rnacentral:rRNA from 1 species
ACUCAAAUGAAUUGACGGGGACCCGCACAAGCAGCGGAGCAUGUGGUUUAAUUCGAAGCAACGCGAAGAACCUUACCUAGGCUUGACAUCCCUCAGACCGGUCCUUAACCGGACCCUUCCCUUCGGGGACUGAGGUGACAGGUGGUGCAUGGUUGUCGUCAGCUCGUGUCGUGAGAUGUUGGGUUAAGUCCCGCAACGAGCGCAACCCUUGCCUUUAGUUGCCAGCAUUAAGUUGGGCACUCUAGAGGGACUGCCGAGGAUAACUCGGAGGAAGGUGGGGAUGACGUCAAAUCAUCAUGCCCCUUAUGCUUAGGGCUACACACGUGCUACAAUGGCUAGUACAGAGGGUUGCGAAGCCGCGAGGUGAAGCUAAUCCCUUAAAGCUAGUCUCAGUUCGGAUUGUAGGCUGAAACUCGCCUACAUGAAGCUGGAGUUGCUAGUAAUCGCGAAUCAGAAUGUCGCGGUGAAUACGUUCCCGGGUCUUGCACACACCGCCCGU